GGGUAUAUAGCUCAAGUGGUAGAGCACAUGCUUGGCAUGUGUAAGGUCCUGGGUUGAAUCCCCAGUACCUCCA
rnacentral:tRNA from 1 species